rnacentral:rRNA from 1 species
GGAUCCAGACUUUGAUUCUGGCUCAGGAUGGACGCUAGCUACAGGCUUAACACAUGCAAGUCGAGGGGCAGCGGGAUUGAAGCUUGCUUCAAUUGCCGGCGACCGGCGCACGGGUGAGUAACGCGUAUCCAACCUUCCGUACACUCAGGGAUAGCCUUUCGAAAGAAAGAUUAAUACCUGAUAGUAUCUUAAGCACACAUGUAAUUAAGAUUAAAGAUUUAUCGGUGUACGAUGGGGAUGCGUUCCAUUAGGUAGUAGGCGGGGUAACGGCCCACCUAGCCAACGAUGGAUAGGGGUUCUGAGAGGAAGGUCCCCCACAUUGGAACUGAGACACGGUCCAAACUCCUACGGGAGGCAGCAGUGAGGAAUAUUGGUCAAUGGACGAGAGUCUGAACCAGCCAAGUAGCGUGAAGGAUGAAGGUCCUACGGAUUGUAAACUUCUUUUAUAAGGGAAUAAACCCUCCCACGUGUGGGAGCUUGUAUGUACCUUAUGAAUAAGCAUCGGCUAACUCCGUGCCAGCAGCCGCGGUAAUACGGAGGAUGCGAGCGUUAUCCGGAUUUAUUGGGUUUAAAGGGAGCGCAGACGGGUCGUUAAGUCAGCUGUGAAAGUUUGGGGCUCAACCUUAAAAUUGCAGUUGAUACUGGCGUCCUUGAGUGCGGUUGAGGUGUGCGGAAUUCGUGGUGUAGCGGUGAGAUGCUUAGAUAUCACGAAGAACUCCGAUUGCGAAGGCAGCACACUAAUCCGUAACUGACGUUCAUGCUCGAAAGUGUGGGUAUCAAACAGGAUUAGAUACCCUGGUAGUCCACACGGUAAACGAUGGAUACUCGCUGUUGGCGAUAUACUGUCAGCGGCUUAGCGAAAGCGUUAAGUAUCCCACCUGGGGAGUACGCCGGCAACGGUGCAACUCAAAGGAAUUGACGG